rnacentral:lncRNA from 1 species
CCAGCUCCAUCCCGCCGGGUGUGUUCUUGCCCGGUGUUCUCGCUCGAUGUCCCAGCAGACAGAGCCGUGGAGGGCACGAUAUAUGUGGUUGAAAGGCAUCAUAAUUCUGGAAGGGGCCUCAAGCUGAUACAACUGAAAGCUGCCACAGAAGAGUUUAUAUCCCUGCCUUCUCCUAAAAUAUGUUCAACAGGAGUUGAACCACUUCGGGCCUGUCAGAGUAUGAUCUUCACGCUAGCCAGAAAUCUGUGGACCAUAACAUGGGUGUCUUUACAAUCACAGCAACAAAAGAGCAGAGGUGUCACAAACAAAGGAAGGUCCAUGCAGUAGUCACUGAGUGUGUCAAGUUCCCUGAGUUGUGGAAGAAUGGGGCUGGAAGUCACCAGAAUGUUUGCGGAAAUGCUAUAAGCCCUGAGAAGUCGCAGAAGGAUGCUCUGGGUCUGUGGCAGUCUGGCUGAAGCUCAGAACAAAAUUCAAGGGAGUCCAGCAUUGCACACAGAGUUUCUUCUGCUGUAUUAAUUGAGAGAGAGAGAAGGCAGAGGACUUAAACUGUGUUACUCAAAGGUAAGUGUUUUGAUAGCCUGCUCAGUUCUCAGUACUUUGAGGAGUUCGAGAAAUCCCUUUAAACUGUGCACGUCCUAUUAUUUGUACAUUAGAAGUUGUUAAGGUGUCUUCACCUUCACUUGUGGAUUGUUUUCUGUCAUGCUUUAACUGGUACAUAGGCUACGCCUUUCUCCGUUUCACCCUGACAUCAUUCCCGGGCCUUUUUAUUUGUCAAAGGCUUGCAUUCCAAUUUGGGGACUGAUAAAGAUUGAGGACUUGGGGAUCCAAGAACCUUAAGUUCUUAUUGAGUGUUUGCUGCAAAAAUAAUGUUCUGACCAACUCAUUAACUAGCUAGAUGGACUUACUCUGCUUUGUAAUGUGUUUCAUACUUCCAUGCUCUAAACGAUGCUGUUGUCUGUCUUUGUCAAAUCAGUUGGAAAUUAAAUACAAAUUCCAUUUACAGGUCAUUAUUUUUUUGCAUUGCUGUUGUUUUGAUAGGAGCAUACGCGUGUAUGUUAAGC